AUAUAAUACACUUUACUCUCUUCAGAUUGAGACACAUCAGCAUCCAGCGUGGAAACUGAUGCCUUCUUUGUUCGACACGUCAGAUUCAUAUUCUUAGCGGGUUCGCCGUGUUGGGCUUCUUCUGUAAUUUUCUGUGUGUGUAAGGUCCUUAUGAAAACCCUAUGGAAUAGAUCAUUCUGCUCUUCGGUUUCAUCGGUUGCGGCAGUGAAGCUGUGACGAUGGCCUUUGGGUUUCGUAACGGAGGCGUCGUGAUUUAUGUGGAGGGUGUCCCAGGUUUGUAUUGGCAGACCCUUGAAAGGCUUUCCGACCGUCACUCCGCGGCGGAGUUUCUUGCAGUCGUGGGUUCAGUAAUCACACUUAAAAACUUUGUAUAUUGCAGAUAUGGUUGUUGCUGUCGGGCUGGUCAUGGAUGUUACUUCUCGCCGUCUCAUUGGUUGGGGAGCAGUUUGACUUAAUUUCGAUAUGUGACAGUAACAAUGGUUGCUGCUGGUAUCAACAUAGUUCCCGUGAUCGGAAUGGGUAUGUUGAUUUGAUUUUAAUAUGUAGAUACCGAUCAUGAAACACUGUCUAACUAACAUAUGGCGUAGAUUGUUUUCUUUGUUGAUCACAUAUCAAUCGUUUUCUGUAAAAGACUGAUCUGAGAGUUUUUGAAUUGUGUUGAGUAUAGAACUGUCUCAGGUGUUGCAGUUCUCUUGGUCAUCAUUGAACAAGUCAAGAGAUGAAUCUAUGAGAUAUGGUCAGAACCUGGAGGUUAACGGGGAGAAAGGAACUGGCCAGGUAGAGGAGUUCUCAAAGAUCAAUCUGCUCCUGUCUAUAUAACCAUUGGUAAUGGAGGAAACAUUUAAGGAUUUGCUCCAAAAUGACUGAGCCUCAGCCUAAGUACUCCGCCACAGAGAAGAAAAGCUUUGGACACGUUAUAAUCUCAAUAUAGAAGUGGAUAUAUGCGCAGUAUGAAUGGCACAAGAACAAGUUAUGUAGUCGAGGCUGACACCAUGUGGUUUUACAACAGGUUAUGGCAUCCUGAUGAUGAUUCUCCUUAGUAUCCAAAUACCAGGUCAUGGUGAUAUAUGUUGUUGUAUGCAUUUUUUUGUAAUUGAAUAACGAUGAAUAAAGACAACGUGGAUUAGUUUUUUUUGUUUGUCCUUGAGUAAGCAGCGCAAACGAUACACUGCAAGGUUACAUUUUUACUCUUGGGUCUCAAUGCUAAGAUGAUGGCAAGAGCAUAAAUGUCACAUUAGAGUGUGAUAUUAAUCAAGUU